rnacentral:rRNA from 1 species
CCCACCCGUGUUUAUUUUACGAAUGUUGCUUCGGCGGGCCCGCCUUUACUGGCCGCCGGGGGGCUCACGCCCCCGGGCCCGCGCCCGCCGAAGACACCCCCGAACUCUGUCUGAAGAUUGAAGUCUGAGUGAAAAUAUAAAUUAUUUAAAACUUUCAACAACGGAUCUCUUGGUUCCGGCAUCGAUGAAGAACGCAGCGAAAUGCGAUACGUAAUGUGAAUUGCAAAUUCAGUGAAUCAUCGAGUCUUUGAACGCACAUUGCGCCCCCUGGUAUUCCGGGGGGCAUGCCUGUCCGAGCGUCAUUGCUGCCCUCAAGCCCGGCUUGUGUGUUGGGCCCCGUCCUCCGAUUCCGGGGGACGGGCCCGAAAGGCAGCGGCGGCACCGCGUCCGGUCCUCGAGCGUAUGGGGCUUUGUCACCCGCUCUGUAGGCCCGGCCGGCGCUUGCCGAUCAACCCAAAUUUUUAUCCAGGUUGACCUCGGAUCAGGUAGGGAUACCCGCUGAACUUAAGCAUAUCAAUAAGCGGAGGA